rnacentral:rRNA from 1 species
UACGUAGGGGGCGAGCGUUGUCCGGAUUUAUUGGGCGUAAAGAGCUCGUAGGCGGCUUGGCAAGUCGGGUGUGAAACCUCCAGGCUCAACCUGGAGACGCCACUCGAUACUGCUAUAGCUUGAGUCCGGUAGGGGAGCGUGGAAUUCCUGGUGUAGCGGUGAAAUGCGCAGAUAUCAGGAGGAACACCAGCGGCGAAGGCGGCGCUCUGGGCCGGUACUGACACUGAGGAGCGAAAGCGUGGGGAGCAAACAGG